rnacentral:rRNA from 1 species
UACGUAGGUCCCGAGCGUUGUCCGGAUUUACUGGGCGUAAAGCGAGCGCAGGUGGUUUAUUAAGUCUGGUGUAAAAGGCAGUGGCUCAACCAUUGUAUGCAUUGGAAACUGGUAGACUUGAGUGCAGGAGAGGAGAGUGGAAUUCCAUGUGUAGCGGUGAAAUGCGUAGAUAUAUGGAGGAACACCGGUGGCGAAAGCGGCUCUCUGGCCUGUAACUGACACUGAGGCUCGAAAGCGUGGGGAGCAAACAGG